rfam:Desulfobacteraceae bacterium IS3 Ga0073107_10603, whole genome shotgun sequence.
CCCGGCAAUAAAUUGCCGGUCUAUUUUCAGCCGUCCCUACGGGACU